rnacentral:lncRNA from 1 species
UGUGAGAUAAAAGGCGAUUCAGAAGUCAAGUGAGGCAUAAUAAGGUAUUUCAAGUACCAAGGAGACAAGAUAAAAUUUUUAAAAUAUUAAUAUUUAGCUGGAUGUCGAAAUCAGUCAAGAAGAAAGAUCAUAUGGUUGAUUCAAGUGGGGGAGAAGAUGACAACCCCGACUCUAUAAAAAUAUUUAUCAUGACAUACACGUGAUGGAUAGCAUGUUUGCAUACUAGGAGAGUCCCAAAAAAAAAAAUUAAUUACAAAAGUCGAUAUUGUACCUAGACGUACAACAAAGUUGAUUUAAGCCUCGAACUAGAUCAAAUAUAGAAUUCACGAUGAAAUUAAGAAUUUUAAAGUCCCAGAAUGGUUUAAUAUGGUGAUUCGGAGUUCGAGGAUCAAUUUGGAGUCCAAUCGAAAUUUUCGCUAUCUAGGGGCAAAAUGGUCAUUUGCCACCUGAGGACAAAAUGGUAAUUUUUAGAAAAGAUUUUUGGCCCCAUUUGAC